UACGUAGGGUGCAAGCGUUGUCCGGAAUUAUUGGGCGUAAAGAGCUCGUAGGCGGUUUGUCGCGUCGGCUGUGAAAACCUGGGGCUCAACCCCGGGCCUGCAGCCGAUACGGGCAAACUAGAAUUCGGUAGGGGAGACUGGAAUUCCUGGUGUAGCGGUGAAAUGCGCGGAUAUCAGGAGGAACACCGGUGGCGAAGGCGGGUCUCUGGGCCGAUAUUGACGCUGAGGAGCGAAAGCGUGGGGAGCGAACAGG
rnacentral:rRNA from 1 species